AUGCUGUUUCCUGAGCUCGAGAAUGCAAACGCUGCCGUUGAAGCGGACUGGACACCAGAAGUAGUAGAUGGUGUAGAAUUAGCUGCUGCAGUUCCAACACUAAAGGAUGCAACAGGAGAAGACGAAAAUGUUGCCGUGCUCGAGAAAGAAGAGGAUGUGACUGGAGAGCUCGAAAAGGUUGUGAUAUUUGAUGAGAAAAUGGACGCAGUAUUCAGAUUGGAUGAUGCCUUGCUGGCUGUUUCUGGGACUUUAGACUUGGAUUCAGCUGUAGUACCCACGGUACCAAAGAGUGAAGUGCUAGCUGGCUUUGUCUCUGUGGAUGUCGUCUCUGGUUUUGGUGCUGCUACCGUUGGAGUGCUGGAGCCAAAAUUGAUAGUUGGAAAUGCAGGAACCGAAGAUGAAACAGGUGGACUGUUGCUGGAUACAGAGAAGCCGGCAAUGGUAGUUAAUGGAGCGGUGCUGACAGCAGGUUUAUCAGUGGGCGUGGUAUUUGACAACUUCGGUGGUGAUGUGUGCGACAAGCCAUUGCUCAGGCCCGGUGAAGUAGAUGCAGCAGAAGCAAAAUGGAGAGGUGGAGUCAAUGUUGGUGCAGCCGUAGGCAACACCUUGUCAGAUGACUUAUGGAUAUCUCCAGCUCCUUCCCUUCCAUUGCCUUGCUCCAAAUUAGGUGUGUCCAAUGAUGCGGGCUUCGUGACACUGGAAACACAAGAAGCAGAAUACAUUAGCAGAUACUCCAAAUAG
rnacentral:rRNA from 1 species